rnacentral:rRNA from 1 species
CACGGGGGGAGCAAGCGUUGUUCGGAAUCACUGGGCGUAAAGGGCGUGUAGGCGGUCGAGUAAGUGGAAUGUGAAAUACUCCGGCUCACCCGGAGCACUGCAUCCCAAACUGCUCGGCUUGAGUAUGGGAGAGGACAAGGGAAUUCCUGGUGUAGCGGUGAAAUGCGUAGAUAUCAGGAGGAACACCGGUGGCGAAGGCGCACAUCUGGCCCGAUACUGACGCUGAGGCGCGAAAGCUAGGGGAGCAAACGGG